rnacentral:lncRNA from 12 species
AUGAUGGGCAUGGGUGGCAGGACUGGGGGCCCGGCCGUCAGGUCAGCAGGAUUGGCCGUGAGGAGGGGGCUGGAGCGCGGGUGGCGGGGACCAGACCCCAGGUCCUGUUAUGCUGAACGUGUGGCCUCCUGCCUGGGUCCUGAGCGGGCCUCUCCCUCUUCCUUGCUCUCUCCCUCUGCCCCACCAAGGUGCCCACUGUCCCCAGGCACCGUCUGGAGCAGGGCCUCAGCUGGGGCGCGCCAGCCUGCCCUCCGGGACUCCACCUGCUUCCAUCCUCCGUGGCCCUGGACAGUCCCCUGGAGACUCCAGGGCCAGGCCUCGGGGCCCUCCUCUGCACCCCCUCCUUGCCCAGCAGGCUGUGAGCAAAGCCGCGCUGACCACCUGCUGGACGGUCUGCCUCGUGGGGAGUGCUCACCACUUGCCUUUCUGCACCCGCUCGAACCUUCCCGGGCUGCUGCUCCUGCUGCCGGGCUCUGGUCUGCUGUGAACACAUCGGGCACAGGAUUUUUUUUAAAGAUGGACACGUAUCUUCCGCUCUGGCCACGGUGUUGCCACACUGGGCUGUGCAGCCUUGAGCUUCCGUGUAGCCUCUCUGUUUCAGUGACCCCUCUAGAAGUGGGGGGACUGGGUCAGAGACUUUCUGGGGUCUUUUCCGACCCCAUGUGCUGCUCGUGUGAAACCCAUGGCUUUGCUCGGGGACUGGCCACAGAGUUCAGCCAUCCGAUGCUCAGGUGCCCGCGAGCCGAUCACACGGAUGUGUGCAUUCCUCGAGAAUAAAACUCAGGGUGAACUCAGAUUGACCUGAAACACAAACCGAGAACGAGUCCCUGAAGCUUUACCGGAUGUACACCUUGCAAGAAACAGCCCGUGUCCCUGUAAGUUCCAGACGUCCGACGCCUCUGCCUGGCACAGGGGACAGUAGGCUCCAUGCUUGGGGGGCUUGUGCAGAGCAAGUGGUGUGUGCCCAAGGAUGCAGUGGAGACACUGCCCUGACCCUGUUGCUGCCCCUUCUUCCAUGGCCCCUGGGAGCAGCCUGGGCAGUAACUCCAGGCCUGCCGGGGUGGGGGGCCACGUCCCCUGUGGCCCUGUCCCUGACUGCCCGGCUGUGUCUCUGGGGCGGCUGUGGCUUUGUCCCCCGGGGAGCCCUGGCUGGAAGGCAGGCCCAGGUGCCAUUUGGGGGGAGCCCCCGCUGGGGCUGUGUGUGACUCCAGCUGCCCUAUUUCUCCAGGUGGGCAUUCGGAUCUGUCCUUGGUCACACUGACAGGGCAGUGACACAGACCCCUCUCCAGGGACGGGUGCCAGGCCCAUAGCAGGGGUGUGGCCAUGGAGCCAGGGCCAUGGGGCCUGGAGGUCAGAGGGGGUUCCGUGGGGCGAGCGUGCUUGGCCCUGGGGGUCCCCUCGGACUCUCUCCACUGCAGUUUUCCCUCUGGACCAGGAUUCCCAGCGGGAGGACCUCUCGAGGUUCCAAUGUAGCCCGUCUCAGACUGCCCCCCGAGGACACCUGCAGAGAGGCGGAGCCCCCCAGGUGAGACACAGGUGGGGUCAGGCCUCCGCGGCCUCAGGGAGCCGGGAGACGCUUUCUUCCUCCAACACUGUGGAAGUGUUCACAGCUCUUGUGGGCAGAAGGACUCGGCGCUCUCUGUCCAAGCCCCAAGUAAGGUGGAGCCCCAGGCACCUCAUGCGGCUGGAGCUAGAAUGGCUGUGGGCGUCGAGGUUGGGCCAGGGGCCCCCACCCGAACCGGCUCCUCCUUGGGGAACCCCUUUGGCCCUUGGUCCC